GGUACAUAGUGACACGUUUGCAUUAGUAGAACACCACCAUGAGCCAUCGUGUGGGCGGGAGAGUUUCUAGGGUUACAAGAAUCACUGCCUGACAGGCUGUCAGUGUUGUCUAUACGUCAGUGGAUUAUAUGUGUGAUAUAGGUCGGUUUCUAUACGUCAGUGGAUUAUAUGUGUGAUAUAGGUCGGUUUCCAUACGUCAGUGGAUUAUAUGUGUGAUAUAGGUCGGUUUCUAUGUGUCAGCACAGAGCACGUGCUCAUCAGUGGGUAUGAGUAGAUCAUGUAAUUCCUGUCAUGUUUUCUGUUAUACACAA
ensembl:lncRNA